CUCCUCCACGUUCGCCCCCAGCCUGCGGCUCCUCCAUCUCCUUUUGUCUGCCUGUGACUCUUCCGCUUUUAUCCCCCACCACCCCCAUGGCUUCUCCAUGCCUGUCCCAGCCAUCCUGAUGGCUUCACAUGAGCCCACCCUCUCCCCACCCCUCAAUGCCUGCGGUUCCUCAUAUCCCUCAGCCCGUCAUUUUUUUACGCCACCACCACCCC
rnacentral:lncRNA from 1 species